rnacentral:rRNA from 3 species
CGGAAGACCAAGGGUUCCUGUCCAACGUUAAUCGGGGCAGGGUGAGUCGACCCCUAAGGCGAGGCCGAAAGGCGUAGUCGAUGGGAAACGGGUUAAUAUUCCCGUACUUGGUGUUACUGCGAAGGGGGGACGGAGAAGGCUAUGUUGGCCGGGCGACGGUUGUCCCGGUUUAAGCGUGUAGGUGUGUGUUCCAGGUAAAUCCGGUUCACUUUAACACUGAGGCGUGAUGACGAGGCACUACGGUGCUGAAGCAACAAAUGCCCUGCUUCCAGGAAAAGCCUCUAAGCAUCAGGUAACAUCAAAUCGUACCCCAAACCGACACAGGUGGUCAGGUAGAGAAUACCAAGGCGCUUGAGAGAACUCGGGUGAAGGAACUAGGCAAAAUGGUGCCGUAACUUCGGGAGAAGGCACGCUGACAC